rnacentral:rRNA from 1 species
GCUGGCGGCGUGCCUAAUACAUGCAAGUCGAGCGAACGGACGAGAAGCUUGCUUCUCUGAUGUUAGCGGCGGACGGGUGAGUAACACGUGGAUAACCUACCUAUAAGACUGGGAUAACUCCGGGAAACCGGAGCUAAUACCAGAUAAUAUUUUGAACCGCAUGGUUCAAAAGUGAAAGACGGUCUUGCUGUCACUUAUAGAUGGAUCCGCGCUGCAUUAGCUAGUUGGUAAGGUAACGGCUUACCAAGGCAACGAUGCAUAGCCGACCUGAGAGGGUGAUCGGCCACACUGGAACUGAGACACGGUCCAGACUCCUACGGGAGGCAGCAGUAGGGAAUCUUCCGCAAUGGGCGAAAGCCUGACGGAGCAACGCCGCGUGAGUGAUGAAAGUCUUCGGAUCGUAAAACUCUGUUAUUAGGGAAGAACAUAUGUGUAAGUAACUGUGCACAUCUUGACGGUACCUAAUCAGAAAGCCACGGCUAACUACGUGCCAGCAGCCGCGGUAAUACGUAGGUGGCAAGCGUUAUCCGGAAUUAUUGGGCGUAAAGCGCGCGUAGGCGGUUUUUUAAGUCUGAUGUGAAAGCCCACGGCUCAACCGUGGAGGGUCAUUGGAAACUGGAAAACUUGAGUGCAGAAGAGGAAAGUGGAAUUCCAUGUGUAGCGGUGAAAUGCGCAGAGAUAUGGAGGAGCACCAGUGGCGAAGGCGACUUUCUGGUCUGUAACUGACGCUGAUGUGCGAAAGCG